UCCAAUCGCAUGUGCCUUAUGAUGAUGAAGCGUACAAUUCCAGAGGUUUUCCGAGGUUCCAUCUAUGAUGAUGAGAACGCAAGUAAGUUCAUGAAAGCAGUAGCGGCUCGUUUUGAAAGAAAUGAGAAGCAGGAAACAAGCUCGCUUUUGAUGAAAUUAUUUCCAAAAGGUAUAAGGGAAAUGGGAUUCGGGAAUACAUCAUGGAGAUGUCUGAUCUUGCUUCACAGCUCAAGGCAUUCAAGAUAGAUUUGUCUGAUGACUUACUAGUGCACUUGAUAUUGUUGUCUCUUCCUGUACAGUAUGGAUCCUUUAAGAUCAUAUACAACUGUCAACAAGCCAAAUGGUCUCUUAACGAGCUCAUUUCGCAUUGUGUGCAAGAAGAAGAGCGAUUGAAGCUUGAAAAACCUGAAAGUGCUCACCUUGCGGUCUCUAGAAAGGAUAAAAAUAAGAAACGUCCUCAGAAAAAGAAAAGUGAUGAUGGUCCUGUCAAGAAGAUGCAAAAAAAAAGCAGGAUAAGAGUGGUGCGUGCUUUUUUUGUAAGAAGAUGAGACACAUGAAGAAGGAUUGCACUGGCUAUCAUGGCUGGCUUGCAAAGAAAGGGUUGCCUAAGCCAUCGAAAACCAAGUGAUGCUGAAAGAUUCAUCUAUGUUGGCGACGGGAAUAAAGUUGAAGUGGAGGCUAUCUGCAUUUUUAGAUUAUUAUUGAGUUCUUGUUUUUAUUUGGAUGAGACAUUUGUUGUACCGUCAUUUAGACGGAAUUUGGUUUCUAUUUCUACAUUGGACAAAUUCGGUUAUUCUUGUUCCUUUGGAAAUGGUUUAUUUCGUCUUUUCCGUAAUUCGAAUUUACUUGGUACC